rnacentral:rRNA from 1 species
UACAGAGGGUGCGAGCGUUAAUCGGAUUUACUGGGCGUAAAGGGCGCGUAGGUGGUAAAGCAAGUAAGAUGUGAAAGCCCUGGGCUUAACCUGGGAAGUGCAUCUUAAACUGCUUAACUAGAGUAUGGUAGAGGGUAGUGGAAUUUCCGGUGUAGCGGUGAAAUGCGUAGAGAUCGGAAGGAACGCCAGUGGUGAAGACGACUACCUGGAUCAAUACUGACACUGAGGCGCGAAAGCGUGGGGAUCAAACAGG